UACAGAGGAGCCAAGCGUUGUCCGGAUUGACUGGGCGUAAAGCGCACGCAGGCGGUGGUGCGCGUGGGGUGUGAAAUCUGGCCGCUUAACGGCCAGGCGCCAUCCCAUACGGCACGACUGGAGGGCUGCAGAGGUCGAUGGAAUUGCCGGUGUAGUGGUGAAAUGCGUAGAGAUCGGCAGGAACACCCAGGAGGAAACCAGUCGACUGGGCAGCACCUGACGCUGAGGUGCGAGAGCGUGGGGAGCGAACCGG
rnacentral:rRNA from 1 species